AUUGAACGCUGGCGGCAUGCUUUACACAUGCAAGUCGAACGGUAACAGGCCGCAAGGUGCUGACGAGUGGCGAACGGGUGAGUAAUGCAUCGGAACGUGCCCAGUCGUGGGGGAUAACUACUCGAAAGAGUAGCUAAUACCGCAUACGAUCUAUGGAUGAAAGCGGGGGACCGUAAGGCCUCGCGCGAUUGGAGCGGCCGAUGUCAGAUUAGGUAGUUGGUGGGGUAAAGGCUCACCAAGCCAACGAUCUGUAGCUGGUCUGAGAGGACGACUAGCCACACUGGGACUGAGACACGGCCCAGACUCCUACGGGAGGCAGCAGUGGGGAAUUUUGGACAAUGGGCGCAAGCCUGAUCCAGCAAUGCCGCGUGCAGGAAGAAGGCCUUCGGGUUGUAAACUGCUUUUGUACGGAACGAAACGGCUCUGGUUAAUACCCGGGGCUAAUGACGGUACCGUAAGAAUAAGCACCGGCUAACUACGUG
rnacentral:rRNA from 1 species